rnacentral:rRNA from 1 species
AGUGGGGAAUAUUGCACAAUGGGCGAAAGCCUGAUGCAGCCAUGCCGCGUGUGUGAAGAAGGCCUUAGGGUUGUAAAGCACUUUCAGUCGUGAGGAAAGGUGUGUGCUUAAUACGUACAUACUGUGACGUUAGCGACAGAAGAAGGACCGGCUAACUCCGUGCCAGCAGCCGCGGUAAUACGGAGGGUCCGAGCGUUAAUCGGAAUUACUGGGCGUAAAGCGCGCGUAGGUGGAUUGGUCAGUCAGAUGUGAAAGCCCAGGGCUCAACCUUGGAACUGCAUCUGAUACUGCUAGUCUAGAAUACAGUAGAGGGUAGUGGAAUUUCCUGUGUAGCGGUGAAAUGCGUAGAUAUAGGAAGGAACACCAGUGGCGAAGGCGACUACCUGGACUGAUAUUGACACUGAGGUGCGAAAGCGUGGGGAGCAAACAGGAUUAGAUACCCUGGUAGUCCACGCCGUAAACGAUGUCUACUAGCCGUUGGAAGACUUGAUCUUUUAGUGGCGAAGCUAACGCGAUAAGUAGACCGCCUGGGGAGUACGGCCGCAAGGUUAAAACUCAAAUGAAUUGACGGGGGCCCGCACAAGCGGUGGAGCAUGUGGUUUAAUUCGACGCAACGCGAAGAACCUUACCAACUCUUGACAUCCAGAGAAGAGGCUAGAGAUAGCUUUGUGCCUUCGGGAGCUCUGAGACAGGUGCUGCAUGGCUGUCGUCAGCUCGUGUUGUGAAAUGUUGGGUUAAGUCCCGUAACGAGCGCAACCCUUGUCCUUAUUUGCCAGCACGUAAUGGUGGGAACUCUAAGGAGACUGCCGGUGACAAACCGGAGGAAGGUGGGGACGACGUCAAGUCAUCAUGGCCCUUACGAGUUGGGCUACACACGUGCUACAAUGGCCGGUACAGAGGGCUGCAAACCUGCGAAGGUAAGCUAAUCUCACAAAACCGGUCGUAGUCCGGAUUGGAGUCUGCAACUCGACUCCAUGAAGUCGGAAUCGCUAGUAAUCGUGGAUCAGAAUGCCACGGUGAAUACGU